rnacentral:rRNA from 1 species
GUGUAUGGCCAUACUACCCUGAAUGCCUCAAUCUCAUGUGAUCUCAGAAGUUAAGCAGGGUUGGGCAUGGUUAGCACUUGGAUUGGGAGACCACCUUAGAACACUAGGUUCUGUAGAUU